AUUGAACGCUGGCGGCAGGCUUAACACAUGCAAGUCGAGCGGGGGAGGUUGCUUCGGUAACUGACCUAGCGGCGGACGGGUGAGUAAUGCUUAGGAAUCUGCCUAUUAGUGGGGGACAACAUUCCGAAAGGAAUGCUAAUACCGCAUACGCCCUACGGGGGAAAGCAGGGGAUCUUCGGACCUUGCGCUAAUAGAUGAGCCUAAGUGGGAUUAGCUAGUUGGUGGGGUAAAGGCCUACCAAGGCGACGAUCUGUAGCGGGUCUGAGAGGAUGAGCCGCCACACUGGGACUGAGACACGGCCCAGACUCCUACGGGAGGCAGCAGUGGGGAAUAUUGGACAAUGGGCGGAAGCCUGAUCCAGCCAUGCCGCGUGUGUGAAGAGGGCCUUUUGGUUGUAAAGCACUUUAAGCGAGGAGGAGGCUCUUAAGGUUAAUACCCUUGAUGAGUGGACGUUACUCGCAGAAUAAGCACCGGCUAACUCUGUGCCAGCCGCCGCGGUAACAC
rnacentral:rRNA from 1 species